AGGCAGCGCAGAUCUAGCACUGAUCAAGUCUUCUUCAUUUCCUCUAUAGUCCACACCGUGUUUUCUUAGUCUCGGGUCUUAUGAACUAUAUCGGGGAUGAGCUCUUUUUUCUAGCAAAAAUAAAAUACUCCAAUUAAUUUCCCUCCUUUUACAUUAUUAGGUGCAGGCGCUGGAUUCUGUGUCUUGGGCGUUUGAGCACUUCAAUCACUGUACAAAGGUGUUUGAUAUUGGGUUUCCUUCCACCAAUAUGAAACUAUGAAAGUUGGAGAUAUAAGACUGGCUCUUGCUUCUUGAAGCAUUUGUUACUCUGAUCACCUCUGCUGAAGUUACCAAGGAUUCAUUACGAACAACAAUUCAAGGAAACUGAAAAGGUGGAAAGUAGAUGGCCAGGGAGUGUCAGAACAUGACGGAGCUUGUAGAUAGUUGGACAAUUAAGCAAUUGUAUGAUGCUGCAGAGCAUCUAGCGGAUGUAAGGUUUUUUCUCGAGAAACUGGAGCAAGUUCAGCCUGAGAACGCGAUAUCUGCACAACUGGGGGCACUAUUUGUAGAAGCUUAU